UCACUGGAGGACCAGUGGCUAGGCCUCAGCGCUCUCACUGCUGCGGCCCGGGUUCGAUUCCUGGCCAGGGAA
rnacentral:tRNA from 1 species